UCUCCGUUUCUCUCUCCCCGAGCUCUCUCUCUCUCUCCUCUGCACCUCCGGCCACUUUUCGAUUCCAGCCACCUGGGAGCGAACCGCGACCACCGUUGGCUUCCUCUCCUCCUCCCGGACACGCCUGCGGUGGUAGCUCAUCGAGUCUUGGCCGGAAAAACGGCAAACCAAGGCCGAGAAGUUUACUGUAGCAAGUGACCGUUGACCUAAAUUCCGGCCACCUCCGGCGACAAAGCCAGGCUUUUUAGAAGCGCCUUGAGGCGUACUUGAAGCUCCCCAAAUAUCUUGAAGCGAUUUGCAGCGUGGAGGAAGAAAGCAUAAUUAGAAAAUUUUACUCUACUUCGGUUUGCUUAAUUGUUCGGCCACUUAGAGGUAUUUUCUGACUUGGCCACAGUUAUGAAAGACGCUUAGAAUGUUGAGUUGAUGAUGUUGGUAAAAUUUGGUAGCCAGAUAUGGUGGUUGAUCGGCGGCGCGUGGGGCCCAGGUGCAGUCGUCUGUGGCGGCGCGUGAGGGCGCGUCCGGCCGUUCCUGGGCGAUAUACCGAGUUAUUGCUCGAUGAAGGAAUUCGUAUACGUGAUCGCCUAAAUAGUACUUUUGCAGGCCAGUUUAGCUUGAGGUCGAGCGUACAUGGGGUUGAGGCAUAGCUGUCAUAGCUUCCGCAUUAUAAAAGUAUCGGUCCUUUAUCUUGUAUUAUAUUCUUUUGUACGCAUGUACAUUAGAUUGCUCUGAUAACCU